GACGGAGAUUGCACCACUGUAGUCCAAACUGGGCAACAAAGUGAGACUCCUUCUUAAAAAAAAAAAAAAAGAGUGACUGUUUUUUCUGAGAACCAAGGAGGCCUGGGGGAGCAAACUCCUUUGGAGUUUGGGGAUGUGGUUGUGUGAGCUUGUAGGGGAGGGCAAACAGUGUGAGCUAUAGGGUGGUGGCCUGGGGAGAACAAGAAGGUCCUUCAGCAGCCUAGAUAGGGGGAAGCUGUUCGUCUCUUCGUGAGUGAGGGAAGUGGGGUUUUAUUCUAUGACCUUGGUUCCUUAAUUUGUAAAAUGGCGUUGGAGAAAGAUCUAGCUCAGGGGGUUGUAUAUUUAUAAACUGUGAAGUGCUAAAGUAAUUAAAUGCAUAACACAUAGACUUGGAGAAAUGGAAGUGCUAACGGCCUCCAUUAUAUUAAUUAUAUGCAUCACUGAGCACAUUGUAAUCAAUGGCAGCAUAUUAAUGAUAACAUUGGGCAUAUUGGGUUCUAGAAUCACUGAACUGGCACAGCAAGUAUUUCAGAGGCCAUCCAGCCUGGUCUUCCUUAUCUGAUGUUAGAAUUCUCUGUAAGAUAUUUGUGCUGAGAAGUACCAAUAUUUUCCUCAGUAAUACUGGGCAUGUUGAAUGUCAGAGUUCAGCCAGGGCCUUGGGAAAGUGGGUAAUCCUGCCUGUCUCCCAUGAGGCUUCCCUUGGUUGACCAGAACCACUCUUGCCCUCCUAGAUCCCUGAGCACAGACAGGUUUGGCAUCCAGAGUGGGCUGUGGUCAUCAUCUGAAUGGAAAAACCAGCUAUGAGUCAGGGCUUAGACUGGAGAAAAUUUCUAAGGAAGUGGAGCCAGCUGCUUACUUCCCCCAGGCCCAGCAGGAAAUUGAGCCUCACUGUCCCAAAUGUCAACUAAAAGGCAUCCAAGAGCCCUUGAUAUAACUUCAGACAUAAACAACAUAAGCAUAGGGUCCCACUUCCCUGGGAGUCACCUCCCCACCCACAUGAAGAUGGCACUGCUGCCACAGUCAUCUGUGACCCAAGAGUCAUCCUUUCCACUAUUCUUGGCACAAUCACCAAGAAACCACACCAGGGAAGAAUACUACCCCAUAGCUCUCCCCAGCCUUGCCCAGUGUGCCAGUGGUGAAGAAGCCAUUCCUUAGUGUUCUAGAACUUCCUCUGCAAAACAUAAUCAUGCAUAAGAAGAUGGUCCCCACUCCCAGCACAUCACAGCUCUGCUCCAGGGAACCUGCAGGGUGACAGGAGGCCAUCGAUCCUCUAGGAGAGAUGGGAGUCCCUCCCUUUUAUUCUCAUCCUCCUUCUGUCUCAGAUACAGUCCAUCUGGUUGGGGUAGAAAGUAACAAUAAACUCUUGUCUUAAUCCUUUUCACCCCCAAGCACAACUUCAAGCAGUAAGAAAUACAAUAUAAAACCUUCAUUCAAGAACCCUGUUCUCCCCAUCCUGAUGCAGGGGUGGCUCUGUUGGAACAAGAGUGGCUGGCCAGGCCUUUUGAACCACGGGAGAAGAUGUUCUGGGGUCAACUUCAAGACAGGACUGGCAGUACUGGGACAUUUGGCUGAGAAUCGGGGGCCUGCCCAGAUAAGAAAACUGAGACACAGAAAAGUCACACAAGAUUAUUGAGGUCAACACAGAGAACAGUGGAACCAGCACCGGACCCCAGGCAGGCAGAGCCUUCAUGACCACACCACACGGCCACAAGGAGCGGGCAGGGAAGACAGUGGGGCUAGCAGGACAAAAAUGACAAUUCCCAGAGUUUCUUGCUGUUUGGAUCUGGCUGCAGUUUCGGUUUUGCCAACAAGCGGCAUUUCCAUGAGCUCUGGACAGUGGCAGAGAGGCAGAGGCGUUCCUCUGCAGUGUGUUGGACGGUCCGCGGGCUCCUGCCAACGUGAGGAUUUGCAGCAACUGGUAUAUCCACGGUCUUGUCACCAGCUUCCUGAAUGCAGGGCAGCUGGAGCCACACCAGUGGUCCUUGCAGGGGCAGCAGCUGUCUCCUGGUCUCAGGCUCACAGCUGUGGGGAUGUGACCUUAAACCUAAAGCCUAGCAGUGGUCCUGACGUUCAUUUGUCUAGGACCUCUGAUCACUCUGUAAGUCACUAUUUCCCUUAUUAAAUCUCUUUCUGCUGGA